GCUUACACAUGCAAGUCGAACGCCCCGCAAGGGGAGUGGCAGACGGGUGAGUAACGCGUGGGAAUCUACCCAUCUCUGCGGAAUAGCUCUGGGAAACUGGAAUUAAUACCGCAUACGCCCUACGGGGGAAAGAUUUAUCGGGGAUGGAUGAGCCCGCGUUGGAUUAGCUAGUUGGUGGGGUAAAGGCCUACCAAGGCGACGAUCCAUAGCUGGUCUGAGAGGAUGAUCAGCCACAUUGGGACUGAGACACGGCCCAAACUCCUACGGGAGGCAGCAGUGGGGAAUAUUGGACAAUGGGCGCAAGCCUGAUCCAGCCAUGCCGCGUGAGUGAUGAAGGCCUUAGGGUUGUAAAGCUCUUUCACCGAUGAAGAUAAUGACGGUAGUCGGAGAAGAAGCCCCGGCUAACUUCGUGCCAGCAGCCGCGGUAAUACGAAGGGGGCUAGCGUUGUUCGGAAUUACUGGGCGUAAAGCGCACGUAGGCGGAUAUUUAAGUCAGGGGUGAAAUCCCG
rnacentral:rRNA from 1 species